GACGAACGCUGGCGGCGUGCUUAACACAUGCAAGUCGAACGGAAAGGCCCUGCUGUUGUGGGGUGCUCGAGUGGCGAACGGGUGAGUAACACGUGAGUAACCUGCCCUUGACUUUGGGAUAACUUCAGGAAACUGGGGCUAAUACCGGAUAGGAGCUCCUGCUGCAUGGUGGGGGUUGGAAAUUUUCGGCGGUUGGGGAUGGACUCGCGGCUUAUCAGCUUGUUGGUGGGGUAGUGGCUUACCAAGGCUUUGACGGGUAGCCGGCCUGAGAGGGUGACCGGCCACAUUGGGCCUGAGAUACGGCCCAGACUCCUACGGGAGGCAGCAGUGGGGAAUAUUGCACAAUGGGCGGAAGCCUGAUGCAGCAACGCCGCGUGCGGGAUGACGGCCUUCGGGUUGUAAACCGCUUUCGCCUGUGACGAAGCGUGAGUGACGGUAAUGGGUAAAGAAGCACCGGCUAACUACGUG
rnacentral:rRNA from 1 species